ensembl:snoRNA SNORA75 Small nucleolar RNA SNORA75
CCCUUCUCAUGAGCUCCUCAUAAUCUUACUCAUGGUUUUGCAUGGAUUCGCACGAGAAGCAGAGCCAAUGCGCAGUUAGAACAGGCCUGCCCUACCUUCAUGUGGGUGUUGCUUAUGUCUGCUGUGCAACAAGU